rnacentral:rRNA from 1 species
GAUGAACGCUGGCGGCGUGCCUAAUACAUGCAAGUCGAGCGAACAGAUAAGGAGCUUGCUCCUUUGACGUUAGCGGCGGACGGGUGAGUUACACGUGGAUAACCUACCUAUAAGACUGGGAUAACUUCGGGAAACCGGAGCUAAUACCGGAUAACAUAUUGAACCGCAUGGUUCAAUAGUGAAAGGCGGCUUUGCUGUCACUUAUAGAUGGAUCCGCGCCGUAUUAGCUAGUUGGUAAGGUAACGGCUUACCAAGGCAACGAUACGUAGCCGACCUGAGAGGGUGAUCGGCCACACUGGAACUGAGACACGGUCCAGACUCCUACGGGAGGCAGCAGUAGGGAAUCUGCCGCAAUGGGCGAAAGCCUGACGGAGCAACGCCGCGUGAGUGAUGAAGGUCUUCGGAUCGUAAAACUCUGUUAUCAGGGAAGAACAAAUGUGUAAGUAACUGUGCACAUCUUGACGGUACCUGAUCAGAAAGCCACGGCUAACUACGU